GUGCCUGUGGCUCAGCUGGAUAGAGUGUCGCCCUCCGGAGGCGAAGGCCAAGGGUUCGAAUCCCUUCAGGCACACCA
rnacentral:tRNA from 1 species